rnacentral:rRNA from 1 species
GAUGAACGCUGGCGGUAUGCUUAACACAUGCAAGUCGAACGGUACCUUCGGGUAUAGUGGCGGACGGGUGAGUAACGCGUGAGAAUCUAUCUUCAGGUCGGGGACAACAGUUAGAAAUGACUGCUAAUACCGGAUGUGCCGAAAGGUAAAAGAUUUAUUGCCUGAAAAAGAGUUCGCGUCAGAUUAGCUAGUAGGUGGUGUAAGAGACUACCUAGGCUUCGAUCUGUAGCUGGUCUGAGAGGACGAUCAGCCACACUGGAACUGAGACACGGUCCAGACUCCUACGGGAAGCAGCAGUGGGGAAUUUUCCGCAAUGGGCGAAAGCCUGACGGAGCAAUACCGCGUGAGGGACGAAGGCUCUUGGGUCGUAAACCUCUUUUCUCAAGGAAGAUUCAGACGGUACUUGAGGAAUAAGCAUCGGCUAACUCUGUG